AUUGAACGCUGGCGGCAGGCCUAACACAUGCAAGUCGAACGAGUGGCGGACGGGUGAGUAAUGUCUGGGAAACUGCCUGGUGGAGGGGGAUAACUACUGGAAACGGUAGCUAAUAACGCAUACAAUCAGAUGAGCCCAGAUGGGAUUAGCUUGUGGGUGGGGUAACGGAUCACAAAGGCCACGAUCCCUAGCUGGUCUGAGAGGAUGACCAGCCAAACUGGAACUGAGACACGGUCCAGACUCCGACGGGAGGCAGCAGUGGGGAAUAUUGGACAAUGGGCGCAAGCCUGAUGCAGUCAUGCCGCGUGUAUGAAGAAGGCCUUCGGGUUGUAAAGUACUUUCAGCGGGGAGGCGUUACCCGCAGAAUAAGCACCGGCUAACUCCGUGCCAGCAGCCGCGGUAAUAC
rnacentral:rRNA from 1 species